AGGCAUAUGGAGGUUCCCAGGCUAGGGUCAAAUCAGAGCUGUAUCCGCCGGCCUACACCACAGCCACAGCCACAGCAAUGCCAGAUCCGAGCCGUGUCUGCGACCUACACCACAGCUCAUGGCAACGCUGGAUCCUUAACCCACCGAGUGAGACCAAGGAUCGGACCUGCAUCCUCAUGGAUGAUAAUCAGAUUCACUGUGCACAGGGGGAAUGCCCAUAUACCUUUUUUUGGGGGGAGGGGCACACCCACGGCAUGUGGAAGUUCCCAGGCUGGGGAUCGAACCCGUGUUUCAGCAGCAACCCGAGCUGCUGCAGAGACACCACCAGAUCCUUAACCUGAUGCACCACAGUGAGAACUCCCCCAUCACAUAUCUUUUAAGAGAACUGCGGGGGUUUUACUGGGGGAAAGUAGAGAAAGGCGGGACUAAGUUAGAAGGUUCAAGUGUAUCUGACGCUGCCUAGCCUCGCCUCUUCAUUCUGGCAACUAAGUGAAAUCCUCUAACUCAAGCACAUCGAAUGCAGUCUGCGGGUCUGCAUUUUCAUGCUUGCUUUUCACUUGACUGUAUCAAACUUGGAUACUUCUGCCUAAGCCGCCGGAGCUCUGUUCCUAAGACGUGUUCAAACAAGCUCAGCUCGGCUUUCACGCCAUCUGCCCAGAAUUCCGUGGCCAACGUACGUGGCGUGUAUGCUUUCCUGCACCUGUGGAAAUGCUUCAUUUCAGCUCGGCCCUCAAAGGCCCUUCGUUUCUCAAGUCCACGGCCACCCGGCAGGGCCACAGGUAGGUUUGGGAUGGCAAGGGGCCUGGGGAUGGCGGGGAAGGUUUUUCCCUGCCUGGACAGAGAGCGGCUCGCAGGCCAGUGGCUCCCCCUUUCAUCAUCCCUCACCCUGGGAUUCCAUAAAACUGCUGGGCAUCCCAAGCAAGCCCACCUGCAGCAAAUUCACUUCAACAGCAUCGAUGACGACAUGUAAAUGGCCUCGUCCCCUCUCACCCAAUCCAAGCGGGAAGCGGGAAGUGGGGAUCGUUGCUUAUAACCAAGGGCCCAGUUCUUGAAUGGACAUGCAUUCGUCCACUCGACUCUGUGCCCCAGUAGAGAGAGGCAGACCCUUCCUUCCUCGGAAGUAACUCUGGAUCCACAUCAAGUAAACAUCUUAAUGACACGCCUCUUGCGUAUUUCUUCACUUGUCCUGAGGGAUUCGCCCAGCGCCUCCCGCGGGGACUGCGGGACUUGCAUACACUCCCCUCUUGGGUAAGGCAGGGUGAGUCUGUCUGGCCUGAGCCCUGUGUGGCCUCGGGCGCAGAAGGCAGGAAGCUGUAUUUUGCCUGGACCAGUUCCCUGGCCGUGCUGGAGUUCUUGUAGGCACGAGUGUCCCGUUUACAGCUUUCUGUUUAGUAAUUGGUCACAGCUCUUGGCUAAGCAGAUUCCAGGGCCAGAUCUCAAGGAUCAGGGCUGCCUGGGAGCCUGGCUCAGCAGCUGCAGGCUGCAGAGGGAACUCGUGCACCCAGAGCAGCCUAGACGCAUGAUAAGACUUGUCUGUGCAUCACCCCGGCCCAGGAGCCUCUAAUUACAUGUCUGGGACUUGCAGGAGCCCAGGUGGCCCAGCUCACAUGAUGCCAGAGCUGUGAAGAUAGCACGGGCACGGUUCUCACUGCCCUCGCAGCCUGGCCGGGUGGGGAGGCUCCUCUGCGUCCUGUGCGUCAUUUCAAUACAAAUUCUAAGAACCACAUUCCAAAGACAACAAGAGUCCCUUUAAGCAGGUGGCUCUGCUCCAAGCAUCGCCUCAGUUUUAUCCUCCCAUCAAGGUUCCCAGCUCGACCUGCCUCCUGACUUGGGACAGCAAAACACUGCUGGGCAUCGCCACAGAGUCAAUGCAAAAAGGCACAAGAUCGGGUCCCCAGGCAGCCGUAUUUUCCCCCACACGUAGCUUUGGCCUGCAAGGUGGCUCCUGCAAUGGCACUUUGGUUGACUGACCCAUUUCAUGGAAUUCUUUGACCAUGCUAACAGCUAUCAGAGAUUUCCCAUGUGCCAGGUGCUACACUGGACACGAUGAGAUCUCGUGCGAAGCCGUCCAAAUCGGCCCUAGAACUGAGCCACCCGUUCAAAAGAAAAGACACUUGUCCAGGAUUAGGAGAGAAGGUCCCUGUCACUGAGACCAAAAUCUGGCCUGGCACAUGCUGGCUGGCGGCUUAUUGAGGAAAGCUGCUGUGGGAGUGGGUAAGCCAGCAGGUGUCUUUCCUGUGGUUAAUCAGCUGUGUGGGAGGAUUUUCAGGACAACAGCCAGAAAUCUGUUGUUGUUUUUGUUUUCGAAGCUACAGGUUGGGUUUUUUUCCUCCAAGCUUAGUGGAUGCUGAAUCAGCUCAACUGUUCGUUUUGCAAGAAUCCACACACUUGAAUUGUAAUAAACUGACUGCCACUCAGCUGGUCAUUGGCAAGGAUCUCAUGAAAAAAUUGCUUUACCAACUGAAAUCCUUAUUUAUUUCUUACUUAUUUGAUUAUGAGGUCUGCACCUGUGGCACAUGGACGUUCCCAGGCUAGCAGCUGAAUCAGAGCUGCAGCUGCUGGCCUACACCACAGCCACAGCAACACCAGCUCCGUAACGCACUGAGCGAGGCCAAGGAUCAAAUCCACAUCCUCAUGGAUACUAGUCGGGUUGGUUACCACUGAGCCACAACAGGAACUCCUGAAAUCCUCAUUUUAAAUGUUUUCCUGGAGUUCCCGUCGUGGCGCAGUGGUUAACGAAUCCCACUAGGAACCAUGAGGUUUCAGGUUCGGUCCCUGCCCUUGCUCAGCGGGUUAACGAUCCGGCGUUGCCGUGAGCUGUGGUGUAGGUUGCAGACGCGGCUCGGAUCCAGCGUUGCUGUGGCUCUGGCGUAGGCCGGUGGCUACAGCUCCGAUUCAACCCCUAGCCUGGGAACCUCCAUAUGCUGUGGGUGCAGCCCUAAAAUAAAUAAAUAAAUAAA
rnacentral:lncRNA from 1 species